ACCGACAUCAGCGAUUCGUUCUGGGAGCCGUGUCCGACCGCGAGAUAGGCGCACAUCCCCAGUUCGCGCAUCUGCUGUUCGCCAAUGACACGGGUUACAACGUUUUUGCUGUAACUGUCAGCCAGCUGGCGCGCUUGUGACGCCAGGUAGGCGGCGUUACAGAUAUUUGGCGGCAUAUUGCCGAGGUCUUUCGC
rnacentral:antisense_RNA from 1 species